rnacentral:rRNA from 1 species
GACGAACGCUGGCGGCGUGCUUAACACAUGCAAGUCGAACGGAAAGGCCCUGCUUUUGUGGGGUGCUCGAGUGGCGAACGGGUGAGUAACACGUGAGUAACCUGCCCUUGAUUUUGGGAUAACUUCAGGAAACUGGGGCUAAUACCGGAUAGGAGCUCCUGCUGCAUGGUGGGGGUUGGAAAGUUUCGGCGGGUGGGGAUGGACUCGCGGCUUAUCAGCUUGUUGGUGGGGUAGUGGCUUACCAAGGCUUUGACGGGUAGCCGGCCUGAGAGGGUGACCGGCCACAUUGGGACUGAGAUACGGCCCAGACUCCUACGGGAGGCAGCAGUGGGGAAUAUUGCACAAUGGGCGGAAGCCUGAUGCAGCAACGCCGCGUGCGGGAUGACGGCCUUCGGGUUGUAAACCGCUUUCGCCUGUGACGAAGCGUGAGUGACGGUAAUGGGUAAAGAAGCACCGGCUAACUACGUG